CUCUUUUUGAUAAUAAUUUAAAGUAGGGCCUGCCCACUGAAAUUUGAAGGGCCGCAGUAUUUUGACUGUGCAAAGGUAGCAUAAUCAUUAGUUUUUUAAUUGAAAGCUUGUAUGAAUGGUUUGAUGAGAAAAUUACUGUUUCAAUUUUAAUUUAUAGAAUUUUAUUUUUAAGUUAAAAAGCUUAAAUAAAUUUUAAAGACGAGAAGACCCUAUAGAGUUUAACUUAAUUAAGAGUUUAAAUUUUUAGAAUUUAUUAUUUUAGAUUUUUAAUAAGUUUUGUUGGGGUGACAAAAAAAUUAAAUUAACUUUUUUUUAAUUAUAACAAUAAUUUUUGAUUUUUUGAUCCAUUAAAAAUGAUUAAAAGAUUAAAUUACCUUAGGGAUAACAGCGUAAUCUUUUUUGAAAGUUCUUAUUGAAAAAGGGGGUUGCGACCUCGAUGUUGGAUUAAAAUUAAUUUUUGGUGUAGAAGCUAAAGAAUUAGGUCUGUUCGACCUUUGAAAUUUUACAUGAUCUGAGUUUAAACCGGUGUGAGCCAGGUUGGUUUCUAUCUUAAAUCUAAAAAAUAUUUUAGUACGAAAGGAUCAAAUAUUUAAUUUAAAAUUUUUAAUAUGAAUAAAAUUUUUAUUUUGGCAGAUUAGUGCAAAGGAUUUAGAAUCUUUUUAUGUAAUGAUAUUACAAAUAAAAAUUGAUUUAAUUUUAAUAUUUUUUAAUUUUUUAAUUUUAUUUAUUGGAGUAUUAGUUGGUGUUGCUUUUUUAACAUUAUUAGAACGUAAAUUAUU
rnacentral:rRNA from 1 species